UCCACAGCCUGGGCAUUGUAGUACACUCUCGUGCUUACCCAGUUAGAAGCAUCUCUCCUAAUCCGUGUGCUUCUUCUCAAUGCUGGUUCCGGUUGUUCCACUUCCACUUGUGAUUCUUCUCCACUUUCUUGUGGUACAGAAGUAGACACUUCAACUGCCUCUUCUUCUCCUAGCUGACUUGCUUCAGCUCCAUCUUGCUGUUCACUUACUUCCACAUCUUGAUCAUGUGUACCAGAUGCUCCACUACUCUCUUGAGUUGUCUCUGGUUCACUCCUUUCCCCCCCAUGAUCAGAAGUGGGAGUUGCUGAACGUCCACCAUUUGGUGGUUGAGAUCCUGGGUUACUGCCAGAUCCUUGCUG
rnacentral:lncRNA from 1 species